GAUGAACGCUGGCGGCGUGCCUAAUACAUGCAAGUCGAGCGAACAGACGAGGAGCUUGCUCCUCUGACGUUAGCGGCGGACGGGUGAGUAACACGUGGAUAACCUACCUAUAAGACUGGGAUAACUUCGGGAAACCGGAGCUAAUACCGGAUAAUAUAUUGAACCGCAUGGUUCACUAGUGAAAGACGGUUUUGCUGUCACUUAUAGAUGGAUCCGCGCCGCAUUAGCUAGUUGGUAAGGUAACGGCUUACCAAGGCAACGAUGCGUAGCCGACCUGAGAGGGUGAUCGGCCACACUGGAACUGAGACACGGUCCAGACUCCUACGGGAGGCAGCAGUAGGGAAUCUUCCGCAAUGGGCGAAAGCCUGACGGAGCAACGCCGCGUGAGUGAUGAAGGUCUUCGGAUCGUAAAACUCUGUUAUUAGGGAAUAACAAAUGUGUAAGUAACUAUGCACGUCUUGACGGUACCUAAUCAGAAAGCCACGGCUAACUACGUG
rnacentral:rRNA from 1 species